rfam:Diplodia seriata DS_831_scaffold_v01_179, whole genome shotgun sequence.
UUGUCUCGUGCCUCGCUCGGUCUUCAGUCCUCAAUUUGAAGAUCUUGAGCUGGAUACACUAUUGUGUAAAAGACAAGAAAAAAUUUCCGACGAUCUUUGAGUACGGGCGCGCCGGAACUUGUCCAGCGGCGAACUCGUAAUUUAUCAGUCGGAACAUG